CAGAUGAUGGCAGAAGAGAUCACACUUUCCACAACAGACUUAUAGAAGAUAUGCAGCAUCUUGCUGCAAACACCAAAGGACCUAAGCUUCCUUUGCUUCUAUUUGCCUUUAUUUAGUGCCUCUAAAUAAACAUCAAAAUAUCGAUAUAUCUCUUAUAAUAUAUUGGAAAGCCAUCCAAGCCUGGUGACUUUGGAUUUUUCAUAGAUGAGAAAGCAGCCUUUAUCUCGUUUUCCAUCAUAGGGGUUUCCAACUUUGCUUUUUAUUUAUUAGUGAGAGUUGGUUAUUGCAGACCAGAUAAAACAAUUUUCCGCUUCCUCCUCUUCAAGAAUGCCAGUGGAGGUUGACAAAUCUUGGUAGAAUGACUUAAAGAUCAAGUUAAUUUCUUUUGAAGAUGUUACCACUGGGUUAUCCUUUUUAAUCAUUGAUAUUUUAUUCAGGUUAUCCUGUCGCUUUAAUUGUCUCGAGAAUAAUCUUCCGUUUGUUGGGGUCUGGGAGACUGUCUCCUCUUUUGCCUGCUGCUUCCUUAUUCCUCCCCGAGGUGGCGUCUGAACAUGGUGGCUGGGUGCUGCGACAGGUGUUGCUCAUCAAGCCUCACUAGAAGAGGGUUAAGAGGAGUCUGCUGCCAGCACUUCGAUGCUUGAGUGUUAACCAACUGUGGUAAAGCUCUAGACCUCUGAUGUUCCUGGAUCCUCGUUCAGAAGGACCAUCUCACCUCUUGUGUGUUCUCCAUCAGGUUGCCCUGUGUUCUGGAUCCCGUUCCAGCUCGUUUCCUGAACUUACCUGCAUGAAUUCACAUUAUCUCCUUUGGGUUGAAGUUUUCGACUGGCAGCGGUCUGACUCCUCCCUCCUCGGACUCCCCUAUGAUCGAACCCUGCUCACCCUCCACCGUGUUCACCUUCCAAGCCACCCUGCAAAGACCCGUCACACCAUGCCAAGCUCACCUUCCUCCUGGAUCAACUUCACCAAAAUACCUGCUGAGAGAUUCAAGCUAUUCUGUGACCAUUGUGGGCUUUUCUUUCAAUAACGUGGGGUACCAACAAAUUUGUCCACGUGUGUAUGACGAAGGUGAGAGUCCAGCAAACACGCUACAGAGAAGACAUGCAGAUUUCUUUCCAGUCAUAAAAAACUGCACCAGCCAACAGGAGGUGUCACCACUUAGCCAUAGCACUAAUAAGAAGAGAAACAUGAGGUCUGACAAAAACUAUGUGGUGAAGGAAAUCAUUCUUUUUGUUUUAUUUGAAUCAUCAGCUGCAUGACGGCCAAUCACCAUUUAGUUUGCUUAGUGCAAACUAGCCAAUGACAGCCAACAUUGUUAAGACACUGAGCUUUGUACUGACAGAGCACACGCCCCCUUAACUUCAUUCACUUUGUAUUGAAGUUUUUGAUCUUUGUGAUGUCAAAUGCAACAAGUUUAUAAGAAGUUGCUUAUCCAAUUACUGUGCCACUAGUGUGCUUGAAAGGGAAUAUAUCCUCAAAUACUUCAACAAUAAACUUUUCCCAACUGUCGGGAGUGCAUCCCUCA